GAAAUGCGAUAAGUAAUGUGAAUUGCAGAAUUCAGUGAAUCAUCGAAUCUUUGAACGCACAUUGCGCCCGCCAGUAUUCUGGCGGGCAUGCCUGUUCGAGCGUCAUUUCAACCAUCAAGCCCCGCGCUUGUGUUGGGGACCUGCGGCUGCCGCAGGCCCUGAAAACCAGUGGCGGGCUCGCUGUCACACCGGGCGUAGUAGAUUUUAUCUCGCUCAGGGCGUGCUGCGGGUUCCGGCCGUUAAAAAGCCUUUUUUUCCCAAGGUUGACCUCGGAUCAGGUAGGAAGACCCGCUGAACUUAAGC
rnacentral:misc_RNA from 1 species